UACGAAGGGGGCUAGCGUUGUUCGGAAUUACUGGGCGUAAAGCGCACGUAGGCGGAUAUUUAAGUCAGGGGUGAAAUCCCAGAGCUCAACUCUGGAACUGCCUUUGAUACUGGGUAUCUUGAGUAUGGAAGAGGUGAGUGGAAUUCCGAGUGUAGAGGUGAAAUUCGUAGAUAUUCGGAGGAACACCAGUGGCGAAGGCGGCAUCCUGGACCGAUAUUGACGCUGAGGCGCGAAAGCCAGGGGAGCAAACGGG
rnacentral:rRNA from 1 species